rnacentral:rRNA from 1 species
GGCCUUCGGGUUGUAAACUGCUUUUGUACGGAACGAAAAGGCCCUGGUGAACAACCGGGGUUGCUGACGGUACCGUAAGAAUAAGCACCGGCUAACUACGUGCCAGCAGCCGCGGUAAUACGUAGGGUGCGAGCGUUAAUCGGAAUUACUGGGCGUAAAGCGUGCGCAGGCGGACAUGCAAGACAGAUGUGAAAUCCCCGGGCUCAACCUGGGAACUGCAUAUGUGACUGUAUGACUGGAGUACGGCAGAGGGGGAUGGAAUUCCGCGUGUAGCAGUGAAAUGCGUAGAUAUGCGGGAGGAACACCGAUGGCGAAGGCAAUCCCCUGGGCCAGUACUGACGCUCAUGCACGAAAGCGUGGGGAGCAAACAGGAUUAGAUACCCUGGUAGUCC